rnacentral:rRNA from 1 species
UACAGAGGUGGCAAGCGUUGUUCGGAAUUACUGGGCGUAAAGGGCGCGUAGGCGGCUUGGUCAGUCCCGUGUGAAAUCCCUCGGCUCAACUGAGGAACUGCACGGGAAACUGCCUGGCUUGAGUUCGGGAGAGGGAAGCGGAAUUCCGGGUGUAGCGGUGAAAUGCGUAGAUAUCCGGAGGAACACCGGUGGCGAAGGCGGCAUCCUGGACCGAUACUGACGCUGAGGAGCGAAAGCCAGGGGAGCAAACGGG